CAGGUGGUAUCCUCAUCUGCAAUUGACUCGUUUGAAGUGUCCUCCUUUUUGAAGCUGUUCAUCCUCCUUUUCAAACAAUUGCAUCUGGUCACCCUAUUUUAUGCAACCUAUCAGCUUAACAACAGGACUAUGCACAAUUACUAGAAUGGUUGCUAGCUUCUUAUAUGAUUUUAUGUCAUACUUCUAUUUGCUAUUUUCUGAUUUUGUUUGGUGUUUAGGAAUAAAACAGUCAGAUGAAACUGUGUGUAGUGUUGUAUUAUGAAAUAAUUUGUGUAUAGUGGCUGCAGGGACUGGAUAUGAGAAAUUUUACAUUAUUAAAUCACCUCUUUACAAAACAGUAUUUUACCGUACACUGGGGGUAAGCCAGAUGGUAUCGCACUGCUUUAAGCAGGCUAGCUUUGUAUUUGGACUGAGUGAGAUGGUGCAGUAGUUAGCACAAUGUAUUCACAUUUGAAAGGGUGAUGGUUCAAACCCGAUCCAGCCAGGUUUAGGUUUUCUGGAAUUUCCCCAAAUUGCAAAUGCUGGGAUGGUUUCUUUGACAAGGGUAUGGCUGAUUUACUUCCCCAUCAUUUAAGCAAUCUGAGCAUGUGCUGAAUAUCUAAUGAUCCUGAUGUUGGUGGGAUGUUACACUAUAAUCUUUCUUUCUUGCUUUGCAUAUGGGAGGAUGGUGGUGCCAAUCUUCAUCUGGCCAUUCUGGUUUAAGGUAUCAAUGGUUUCCUAAAAUUACUUCAAGGAAAUGCUGAGAUGGUGGUGGCCAUGGCCAGCUACCUGUUCCAUUCUUGUCAAAUUAUACCUAGGCAAUUACGUAAAACAAGAAGUGGAAAUACGCAAAGUAAGUUAGCACCAUAGCCUUCAAGUGAGGUAUACUUCAUUAGCAGCCCCACUGGACACUGGUAUGGAAAACACAUCAUAGACCUGUGCAGCUCCUGCAACAGUUGGAGGGAAUGUUGUAAACCACCUGGUGUAACGUCUAUUCUCUUGUGUGCUGGUGGGCUCCUGGGCCAAUAAAAGGCUGGCAGCAACCUGCCAUAAGCCACUUCAGUGUAUACUCAUGCCUGUGUGUGACAGUAUCCUCCAUGUGUCUUGUGUGAUUGACUGUGACAUUCCUUGGACUGCGCUUGGUUUGCUGUUCUUAUUUUUGCUAUAUUUGCUAUUGCUCAGUUGUUGCUUGGAUUGUGAUACUUCUGAUGGUACACUUACCUUAGUCUAAGAUGAAUUUAUCUAUUUCCAGGUUUAUGAAGCUAUAUUUAUUUAACAUGUUAGUACCAAGUUUCAUGUGAAAAUAAAUGUUGAGUGCUGUCUACAAAGUAUUUUAAGGCCAAAGGUAACAAAACGAGCUUUUCUGUGUGUUGACUCUAGACGGACACAGGAAUACUGUGUAAAGGGUUUCAUUUAAUGCAUGACCAAUAUUUCUUUCUAGUUACUGUGAGUUAUUGUUGUAUGUUUGAAAUGAAAUAAUAAUGAUAUUUGUGAGAUUGUCA